GAAAGGCCCUGUCGAAGCUCUUNUUGGUAGUCUGUACUAGUAAAGAGUCAAAAGGGAGCCAAGAGCAAAAUAUUUCUUCUAAGGUCGCUGCAAGGCUGACAACUCAAGCUUUCCAGCAUUACCCAAAGAAAUAACAUAC
rnacentral:snoRNA from 1 species